CUGUCCAGCCCUUUUGGGCGUUUCCUCCCUAGACUUGGACCGCGUCGCGCGAGCGAUGCGGUCUUUUUUAUGCGUUUC
rnacentral:sRNA from 1 species